rnacentral:lncRNA from 1 species
UCUGUAAUGACAAAAUUACAGUUUUCUAACUUUCUCUUUCUACUAGGGGAAAAUAAAGGCCUGAGUGCAAAGGCAGCAGCCAAACAAAUAGGAGAGCGGAAGGUGAAGAGUUCCAACAGAAGCUGGACAGAUAACUUUGGACAGAAGGUCUCUGCUUAAACAACAUCAACCUGUGACGUUUGGUCUUUGGUUAUUAAGAAUAAGAAUAAGAAUACAAGGAUGGAGACAAAGAAGAAGAAAGAGGAGGAAGAAAACAAAAUCACAUGGACUAGAUAAUGUAGCGCUGUUACAAACGGGGAGCGUGAAGGAAGAGAGGAAAGUGCUAAAGAGGAGAAAGAGGUAUUUUUGCAAAUAAGAGGCAACUUUGAACUUCAAGGGGCUGACUAGAAAACUCAAAUCAUAGUGUUGUAUUUGGAAAUCACCUUAAUGAUUCUAUAAUAAUGCCUAACUUCUGUAAAGGUUUUAUAGUUCUCACCACUAUUACAUUUAUUAGUAAGAACACCCUUGUCAGAUAUGCAUUAGCAGACACCCAUUUUACAGAGGAGUAAAUUGAGGUUAG